CAUUAGUUGCUUAGUUCAACCUGCAUCUCCUUCCUGGUCAACGGAAAGCCAGUUCAAGGCACGCUGGAGAACUUCAGUCUGGAUGGGCUGCUAUUUCCAGUGGUUCGCUUCUCAGCUGUAGUGCAGGUGCAUUUGGAGGUCGACGUGGGGAGUUUAGGUUUCUUCCUCCAGCUGACUUCUCUCCAUGCGCUGAAUCUGUCCUCCCCAAAACCUGCUGCAAGCUAGAGCUGUUUGACAAAAUCACACGAAAUCACACUGAAGGUCAUCGUGACCUCUUAGUCCCAGUUGUAUAAGCCCAGUGACCUUUAUCCCCAUUCCAGUGGAUUCCAGCGAGGUUGAAUAUUCUCCACAGCUGGAGCAGAUCAGAGAAAGAUUAGCAGAAAACCUCCAUGAACUCUGGCUUACUGACAAAAUAUAGCAGAUCUCGACCUACAGACCUGUUAGUAACUGAGUAACAUCCUUUCAGUAGUUUCAUCUCAUUCUGAUGUGCAUCUCUUCUGCUAGGUUAAAGAUGAGAGCAAAAAAGUACACUCGUGUCUAGUCGAGUUUUCCAAACAUCCAGAUCAGGAGCGAAUUAAUAAC